rnacentral:rRNA from 1 species
CUACGUAGGGUGCGAGCGUUGUCCGGAAUUACUGGGCGUAAAGAGCUCGUAGGUGGUUUGUCGCGUCGUCUGUGAAAUUCCGGGGCUUAACUCCGGGCGUGCAGGCGAUACGGGCAUAACUUGAGUACUGUAGGGGAGACUGGAAUUCCUGGUGUAGCGGUGAAAUGCGCAGAUAUCAGGUGGAACACCGGUGGCGAAGGCGGGUCUCUGGGCAGUAACGGACGCUGAGGAGCGAAAGCAUGGGUAGCGAACAGGAUUAGAUACCCUGGUAGUCCAUGCCGUAAACGGUGGGCGCUAGGUGUAGGGGUCUUCCACGACUUCUGUGCCGUAGCUAACGCAUUAAGCGCCCCGCCUGGGGAGUACGGCCGCAAGGCUAAAACUCAAAGGAAUUGACGGGG